rnacentral:rRNA from 1 species
GUGCCAGCAGCCGCGGUAAUACGGAGGGGGCCAGCGUUGUUCGGAAUUAUUGGGCGUAAAGGGCGCGUAGGCGGCCGUUCAAGUCGGACGUGAAAUCCCUCGGCUCAACCGGGGAACUGCGUCCAAUACUGUUCGGCUUGAGUCCUGGAGAGGGUAGUGGAAUUCCCAGUGUAGCGGUGAAAUGCGUAGAUACUGGGAGGAACACCGGUGGCGAAGGCGGCUACCUGGACAGGUACUGACGCUGAGGCGCGAAAGCUAGGGGAGCAAACAGGAUUAGAAACCCUCGUAGUCC